GAUGAACGCUGGCGGCGUGCCUAAUACAUGCAAGUCGAGCGAACAGACGAGGAGCUUGCUCCUCUGACGUUAGCGGCGGACGGGUGAGUAACACGUGGAUAACCUACCUAUAAGACUGGGAUAACUUCGGGAAACCGGAGCUAAUACCGGAUAACAUGUUGAACCGCAUGGUUCAACACUGAAAGACGGUCUUGCUGUCACUUAUAGAUGGAUCCGCGCCGCAUUAGCUAGUUGGUAAGGUAACGGCUUACCAAGGCAACGAUGCGUAGCCGACCUGAGAGGGUGAUCGGCCACACUGGAACUGAGACACGGUCCAGACUCCUACGGGAGGCAGCAGUAGGGAAUCUUCCGCAAUGGGCGAAAGCCUGACGGAGCAACGCCGCGUGAGUGAAGAAGGUCUUCGGAUCGUAAAACUCUGUUAUUAGGGAAGAACAAAUGUGUAAGUAACUAUGCACGUCUUGACGGUACCUAAUCAGAAAGCCACGGCUAACUACGUG
rnacentral:rRNA from 1 species